CAUUCACGGAGAGUUUGAUCCUGGCUCAGGACGAACGCUGGCGGCGUGCUUAACACAUGCAAGUCGAACGAUGAAACCGCUUCGGUGGUGGAUUAGUGGCGAACGGGUGAGUAACACGUGGGCAAUCUGCCCUUCACUCUGGGACAAGCCCUGGAAACGGGGUCUAAUACCGGAUAACACUCUGUCCCGCAUGGGACGGGGUUGAAAGCUCCGGCGGUGAAGGAUGAGCCCGCGGCCUAUCAGCUUGUUGGUGGGGUAAUGGCCUACCAAGGCGACGACGGGUAGCCGGCCUGAGAGGGCGACCGGCCACACUGGGACUGAGACACGGCCCAGACUCCUACGGGAGGCAGCAGUGGGGAAUAUUGCACAAUGGGCGAAAGCCUGAUGCAGCGACGCCGCGUGAGGGAUGACGGCCUUCGGGUUGUAAACCUCUUUCAGCAGGGAAGAAGCGAAAGUGACGGUACCUGCAGAAGAAGCGCCGGCUAACUACGUGCCAGCAGCCGCGGUAAUACGUAGGGCGCAAGCGUUGUCCGGAAUUAUUGGGCGUAAAGAGCUCGUAGGCGGCUUGUCACGUCGGAUGUGAAAGC
rnacentral:rRNA from 1 species